rnacentral:rRNA from 1 species
UGAAUACGAGAUGCUACGGCGUCGAAGCAGUCUAUGUCAUACUUCCAAGAAAAGCUUGCACUGUCAUAAACAAAUAAUGCCUGUACCAUAACCGACACAGGUGGGUAGGUAGAGUAUACUAAGGGGCGCGAGAUAACUCUCUCUAAGGAACUCGGCAAAAUGACUCCGUAACUUCGGGAGAAGGAGUGCCUUAUUUAUAAGGUUGCAAUAACAAGAUCCAAGCAACUGUUUACCAAAAACACAGGUCUCCGCUAAGUCGUACGAUGUAUGGGGGCUGACGCCUGCCCAGUGCCAGAAGGUUAAAGAAGUUGGUUAGCAUCCGCGAAGCUGAUAACUGAAGCCCUGGUGAACGGCGGCCGUAACGAUAACGGUCCUAAGGUAGCGAAAUUCCUUGUCGGGUAAGUUCCGACCCGCACGAAAGGCGUAAUGAUUUGGAUACUGUCUCGGAGAGGGGCUCGGUGAAAUAGACUUGUCUGUGAAGAUGCGGACUACCUGCACCAGGACAGAAAGACCCUAUGAAGCUUUACUGUAACCUGAAAUUGAAAUUGGACUUUACUUGCGCAGUAUAGGUGGGAGGCGUUGAGAAUAUUCUUGCGGGAUUAUUGGAGCCAUCAGUGAGAUACCACUCUUGUAAUGUUAGAUUUCUAACUUUGUAUCAUUAUCUGGUCAAAGAACAGUUUCAGGCGGGCAGUUUGACUGGGGCGGUCGCCUCCUAAACGGUAACGGAGGCGCACAAAGGUUUCCUCUGAACGGGUAGAAAUCGUAUCUAGAGUGUAAAGGCAUAAGGAAGCUUGACUGUGAGACCUACAAGUCGAGCAGGGACGAAAGUCGGUCUUAGUGAUCUGACGGUGCUGAGUGGAAAGGCCGUCACUCAACGGAUAAAAGUUACUCUAGGAUAACAGGCUGAUCUCCCCCAAGAGUUCACAUCGACGGGGAGGUUUGGCACCUCGAUGUCGGCUCAUCGCAUCCUGGGGCGGUAGUACGUCCCAAGGGUUGGGCUGUUCGCCCAUGAAAGCGUACGCGAGCUGGGUUCAGAACGUCGUGAGACAGUUCGGUCCAUAUCCGGUGUAGGCGUUAGAAUAUUGAGAGGAGCCUUCUUUAGUACGAGAGGACCGAGAAGGACAUACCUCUGGUGUACCAGUUAUCGUGCCAACGGUAAACGCUGGGUAGCUAUGUGUGGAGUGGAUAACCGCUGAAAGCAUCUAAGUGGGAAGCCCACCUCAAGAUAAGUAUUCUCA